GACGAACGCUGGCGGCGUGCUUAACACAUGCAAGUCGAACGGAAAGGCCCUGCUUUUGUGGGGUGCUCGAGUGGCGAACGGGUGAGUAACACGUGAGUAACCUGCCCUUGACUUUGGGAUAACUUCAGGAAACUGGGGCUAAUACCGGAUAGGAGCUCCUGCUGCAUGGUGGGGGUUCGAAAGUUUCGGCGGUUGGGGAUGGACUCGCGGCUUAUCAGCUUGUUGGUGGGGUAGUGGCUUACCAAGGCUUUGACGGGUAGCCGGCCUGAGAGGGUGACCGGCCACAGUGGGACUGAGAUACGGCCCAGACUCCUACGGGAGGCAGCAGUGGGGAAUAUUGCACAAUGGGCGGAAGCCUGAUGCAGCAACGCCGCGUGCGGGAUGACGGCCUUCGGGUUGUAAACCGCUUUCGCCUGUGACGAAGCGUGAGUGACGGUAAUGGGUAAAGAAGCACCGGCUAACUACGUG
rnacentral:rRNA from 1 species